rnacentral:rRNA from 1 species
CCUACGGGUGGCAGCAGUGAGGAAUAUUGGUCAAUGGACGAGAGUCUGAACCAGCCAAGUAGCGUGAAGGAUGACUGCCCUAUGGGUUGUAAACUUCUUUUAUAUGGGAAUAAAAUGUUCCACGUGUGGGAUUUUGUAUGUACCAUAUGAAUAAGGAUCGGCUAACUCCGUGCCAGCAGCCGCGGUAAUACGGAGGAUCCGAGCGUUAUCCGGAUUUAUUGGGUUUAAAGGGAGCUUAGGUGGAUUGUUAAGUCAGUUGUGAAAGUUUGCGGCUCAACCGUAAAAUUGCAGUUGAAACUGGCAGUCUUGAGGACAGUAGAGGUGGGCGGAAUUCGUGGUGUAGCGGUGAAAUGCUUAGAUAUCACGAAGAACUCCGAUGGCGAAGGCAGUUCACUGGACUGCAACUGACACUGAGGCUCGAAAGUGUGGGUAUCAAACAGGAUUAGAUACCCUGGUAGUC